CCGAAGCUGGCCUCAAAUUCGGACGAAAGGUUUAGCGGUAAUGGAUGGGGAUGCGUCCGAUUAGCUUGUUGGCGGGGUAACGGCCCACCAAGGCGACGAUCGGUAGGGGUUCUGAGAGGAAGGUCCCCCACAUUGGAACUGAGACACGGUCCAAACUCCUACGGGAGGCAGCAGUGAGGAAUAUUGGUCAAUGGGCGAGAGCCUGAACCAGCCAAGUAGCGUGCAGGAAGACGGCCCUAUGGGUUGUAAACUGCUUUUAUGCGGGGAUAAAGUGAGCCACGUGUGGCUUUUUGCAGGUACCGCAUGAAUAAGGACCGGCUAAUUCCGUGCCAGCAGCCGCGGUAAUACGGAAGGUCCGGGCGUUAUCCGGAUUUAUUGGGUUUAAAGGGAGCGUAGGCCGUCUGAUAAGCGUGUUGUGAAAUGUACCGGCUCAACCGGUGAUGUGCAGCGCGAACUGUUGGACUUGAGUACGGUGUAAGCAGGCGGAAUUCGUGGUGUAGCGGUGAAAUGCUUAGAUAUCACGAAGAACCCCGAUUGCGAAGGCAGCUUGCUGUAGCGUAACUGACGCUGAAGCUCGAAAGUGCGGGUAUCGAACAGGAUUAGAUACCCUGGUAGUCCGCACGGUAAACGAUGGAUGCUCGCUGUUUGUCAUUUUGAUAAGCGGCCAAGCGAAAGCAUUAAGCAUCCCACCUGGGGAGUACGCCGGCAACGGUGAAACUCAAAGGAAUUGACGGGGGCCCGCACAAGCGGAGGAACAUGUGGUUUAAUUCGAUGAUACGCGAGGAACCUUACCCGGGCUUGAAUUGCUGAGGAAAGAUCCAGAGAUGGUGAUGCCCUUCGGGGCCUCAGUGAAGGUGCUGCAUGGUUGUCGUCAGCUCGUGCCGUGAGGUGUCGGCUUAAGUGCCAUAACGAGCGCAACCCCUUUCUUCAGUUGCCAUCAGGUAAUGCUGGGCACUCUGUAGAUACUGCCACCGUAAGGUGUGAGGAAGGUGGGGAUGACGUCAAAUCAGCACGGCCCUUACGUCCGGGGCUACACACGUGUUACAAUGGCCGGUACAGAGAGCAGGUCGUAUGCAAAUACGAUCGAAUCCUUAAAUCCGGUCUCAGUUCGGACUGGGGUCUGCAACCCGACCCCACGAAGCUGGAUUCGCUAGUAAUCGCGCAUCAGCCAUGGCGCGGUGAAUACGUUCCCGGGCCUUGUACACACCGCC
rnacentral:rRNA from 1 species